rnacentral:rRNA from 1 species
UGGGGAAUUUUGGACAAUGGGCGAAAGCCUGAUCCAGCAAUGCCGCGUGUGUGAAGAAGGCCUUCGGGUUGUAAAGCACUUUUGUCCGGAAAGAAAUCCUUGGCUCUAAUACAGUCGGGGGAUGACGGUACCGGAAGAAUAAGCACCGGCUAACUACGUGCCAGCAGCCGCGGUAAUACGUAGGGUGCAAGCGUUAAUCGGAAUUACUGGGCGUAAAGCGUGCGCAGGCGGUUUGCUAAGACCGAUGUGAAAUCCCCGGGCUCAACCUGGGAACUGCAUUGGUGACUGGCAGGCUAGAGUAUGGCAGAGGGGGGUAGAAUUCCACGUGUAGCAGUGAAAUGCGUAGAGAUGUGGAGGAAUACCGAUGGCGAAGGCAGCCCCCUGGGCCAAUACUGACGCUCAUGCACGAAAGCGUGGGGAGCAAACAGGAUUAGAUACCCUGGUAGUCCACGCCCUAAACGAUGUCAACUAGUUGUUGGGGAUUCAUUCCUUAGUAACGUAGCUAACGCGUGAAGUUGACCGCCUGGGGAGUACGGUCGCAAGAUUAAAACUCAAAUGAAUUGACGGGGUC